rnacentral:rRNA from 1 species
CCCGCACAAGCGGUGGAGCAUGUGGUUAAUUCGAAGCAACGCGAAGAACCUUACCAGGCCUUGACAUGCUAGGGAACCCGGGUGAAAGCCUGGGGUGCCCCGCGAGGGGAGCCCUAGCACAGGUGCUGCAUGGCCGUCGUCAGCUCGUGCCGUGAGGUGUUGGGUUAAGUCCCGCAACGAGCGCAACCCCUUUCUCCAGUUGCCAUCAUUUAGUUGGGGACUCUGGAGAGACCGCUGCAGUAACAAUGCAGAGGAAGGUGGGACGACGUCAAGUCAUCAUGGUCCUUAUGUCCAGGGCUACACACGUGCUACAAUGGUAGUUACAGAGGGCAGCGAGGCCGCAAGGCGGAGCUAAUCUCAGAAAAGCUGCCACAGUUCGGAUUGAGGUCUGCAACUCGGCCUCAUGAAGCUGGAAUCGCUAGUAAUCGCGUAACAGCAUGACGCGGUGAAUACGUUCCCGGGCCUU